rnacentral:rRNA from 1 species
ACGCUCGACACCUACGGGGGCAGCAGUGGGGAAUAUUGCACAAUGGGGGAAACCCUGAUGCAGCGACGCCGCGUGAGUGAAGAAGUAUUUCGGUAUGUAAAGCUCUAUCAGCAGGGAAGAAGAUGACGGUACCUGAGUAAGAAGCCCCGGCUAACUACGUGCCAGCAGCCACGGUAAUCUGAGCGGGCUGGCAAGGC